GUGCUCACUUUGGCAGCACUUAUUGUAAAAACUGGACAAUACAGAUUAGCAUGGCCCCUGCACAAGGAUGACAUGGAAAUUUGUGAACUAUUCCAUACUUUA